GAUAUCAUAUUGUUCGCUUCUCCCUCUCAGUCAGUCUGCCAUCCCGGUUGCAGGGCUUGGUGCGUCUUGGAGGGGAGGGGGGGGCGAGGAAGAGGGCGGAAUGUCCCUUUACAAGCGUCGCAUCUGAAUAAAACAGCCGCCCGGAGAAGAUCGCAAAUCGGAAAUUGGAAAAGAGAGAGGGAGAAAGCGAGGGGCAGAUUGGUUUCUGCUACGCCAAGGUGAUGUUGGAGCCUUUCGACAGACAUUCCACAGAUCUCGCACCAAACGCCGAUCCAUGCUGAUGUGUUGGAGAAACCAGGGAAAUCAAUGCAUUCCACCGAUUCCUCUUGGAGCUAGAUGACUAAGAGCUCAACUCUGCUCUCGACUUGCAGUACAAAAAAAAAA